rnacentral:rRNA from 1 species
GCUCAGAAUGAACGCUGGCGGUGUGCCUAAUACAUGCAAGUCGAGCGAGAAAGUUUCUUCGGAAAUGAGUAAAGCGGCGGACGGGUGAGUAACACGUGAGUAUCUGCCUUUCAAUGAAGAAUACCCUCGAGAAAUCGAGUUUAAUACUGCAUACGUCCCUUCGGGGAGAAAGAUGGCUUUUAUGCUGUCGUUGAAAGAUGAGCUUGCGGCCUAUUAGCUAGUUGGUGAGGUAAAAGCUUACCAAGGCGACGAUGGGUAGCCGAUCUGAGAGGAUGACCGGCCACACUGGAACUGAGACACGGUCCAGACUCCUACGGGAGGCAGCAGUGAGGAAUAUUGCGCAAUGGGCGAAAGCCUGACGCAGCGACACCGCGUGAAGGAUGACAGUCUUCGGAUUGUAAACUUCUGUGAGAAGGAAAGAAAGUACCAGCUCUAAUAUAGCUGGGGGAUGACGUUACCUUUUUAGAAAGCACCGGCUAACUUCGUGCCAGCAGCCGCGGUAAUACGAGGGGUGCAAGCGUUAUUCGGAAUUACUGGGCGUAAAGGGUGUGUAGACGGUUUAUUAAGUUUGUUAUUUAAGACCUCGGCCUAACCGGGGAAAUGUGGCAAAUACUGAUAGACUAGAGGGUGGAAGAGAGAAGUGGAAUUCUUGGAGUAGCGGUAAAAUGCGUAGAUCUCAAGAGGAACACCGAUGGCGAAGGCAGCUUCUUGGUCCAUCUCUGACGUUGAAACACGAAAGCGUGGGGAGCAAACAGGAUUAGAUACCCUGGUAGUCCACGCUGUAAACGAUGAUCACUGGACGUCAGUUCUGCAUUGCAGGAUUGGUGUCGCAGCUAACGCGAUAAGUGAUCCGCCUGGGGAGUACAGUCGCAAGACUGAAACUCAAAGGAAUGAC